UACAGAGGGUGCAAGCGUUAAUCGGAAUUACUGGGCGUAAAGCGUGCGUAGUCGGUUAUCUAAGUCGGAUGUGAAAUCCCCGGGCUCAACCUGGGAAUUGCAUUCGAAACUGAAUAGCUAGAGUUCGGCAGAGGGAAGUGGAAUUUCGGGUGUAGCGGUGAAAUGCGUAGAUAUCCGAAGGAACAUCAGUGGCGAAAGCGACUUCCUGGACCAGAACUGACGAUCAGGCACGAAAGCGUGGGGAGCAAAC
rnacentral:rRNA from 1 species